UAAGGUUAUUCCUUCUUUUGACAGACGGAGACGGACACGAGGGAGGCGAGGGAAUUGGGUAGCAGAGGUGGGGGAAUUCACCUUUCUGUUAGCUGUUCAUGGGAAUUGAUGCAGUUAUACUGUGCUGUUGGGUUUUCCAAAGAAGCCUAAAGGAGUGAGAGGCCCAAUGAAUGUAGGUUGGAGUUAGGUGCUCAAAUCCCUUAGACACCUUUGAAAAUCCAUCUGCAAGUCUGAUCAACUCUUAAGAUGCAACAUUUUUGUUAGCGAGAGCUUGGAGAAGACAAAACCCCCAAAGCCCUCAUCAAUCAUCCCCCC